rnacentral:rRNA from 1 species
GACGAACGCUGGCGGCGUGCUUAACACAUGCAAGUCGAACGGAAAGGCCCUGCUUUUGUGGGGUGCUCGAGUGGCGAACGGGUGAGUAACACGUGAGUAACCUGCCCUUGACUUUGGGAUAACUUCAGGAAACUGGGGCUAAUACCGGAUAGGAGCUCCUGCUGCAUGGUGGGGGUUGGAAAGUUUCGGCGGUUGGGGAUGGACUCGCGGCUUAUCAGCUUGUUGGUGGGGUAGUGGCUUACCAAGGCUUUGACGGGUAGCCGGCCUGAGAGGGUGACCGGCCACAUUGGGACUGAGAUACGGCCCAGACUCCUACGGGAGGCAGCAGUGGGGAAUAUUGCACAAUGGGCGGAAGCCUGAUGCAGCAACGCCGCGUGCGGGAUGACGGCCUACGAGUUGUAAACCGCUUUCGCCUGUGACGAAGCGUGAGUGACGGUAAUGAGUAAAGAAGCACCGGCUAACUACGUG